rnacentral:rRNA from 1 species
UACGAGGGGAGCAAGCGUUGUUCGGAUUUACUGGGCGUAAAGGGCGCGUAGGCGGCCACGACAAGUCACUUGUGAAAUCUCCGGGCUUAACUCGGAACGGUCAAGUGAUACUGUCGGGCUAGAGUACAGAAGGGGCAACUGGAAUUCUCGGUGUAGCGGUGAAAUGCGUAGAGAUCAGGAGGAAUACCGGUGGCGAAAGCGACUCUCUGGACGGCAACUGACGCUGAGGCACGAAAGCGUGGGGAGCAAACAGG